rnacentral:rRNA from 1 species
UACGGGGGGGGCAAGCGUUGUUCGGAAUUACUGGGCGUAAAGGGCGCGUAGGCGGCCAACUAAGUCAGACGUGAAAUCCCUCGGCUUAACCGGGGAACUGCGUCUGAUACUGGAUGGCUAGAGAUUGGGAGAGGGAUGCGGAAUUCCAGGUGUAGCGGUGAAAUGCGUAGAUAUCUGGAGGAACACCGGUGGCGAAGGCGGCAUCCUGGACCAACACUGACGCUGAGGAGCGAAAGCCAGGGGAGCAAACGGG